AAGAGGCUUUUAUAAAGAAGUUGCUUAUAACUAGAUUAGUUUAGAGAUUAUUAGAGUUUUGAUUUAAUUUAACCCAAUUUGAAUGUUUACCUAAGUAAAUUGUAUCUUUAACCAAGCAAAGAGCAACUAUAAUUGUUAUAAUCAAAACAGUGUUCAUUGUAAACUUUGAAGUGUAAAUAUUGAAACAAUAUUUCUAUGGAAAAAAUAGAACAACCGAAAAACAGAAUGAAAUUGUGAGAAGAAACUGACUCAACAAUCCAAUUGAUCAUCAACAUUCCAUCAAUUCCCAUGAAAGUAAUACAAUCAUAUUUGGUUUGGCAACUUGUAACACCAAUGGAUGGAUAAUAAAAUGAUUGUAAUUUGUGUCCAUCAUCUUUAUUUUGGGAAUUGAAGAUUCAAAGUAAAGAUGUUGAAGAAACAUUCGGAUUCAUGAUGAUCACAUGUUAGCACUGACAAGUUUCAAGUGUUCCCAAGAUGAGGCCAAUUUGGAUGAUAAUGAUGAAGAUUGAAAGUCGUAAAAUGGCAACACAAAGGCGAUUAAUGUUUAAAUUACAAUCUCAUUAACAGUGAAUCUUGCCAAUGGUUGGCUAUUACUGUUGCCCGUAAAACAUCUCAAUUGUCCGAUCCAACAAUCAAAGUAAUCAAUUGGAUUUAAUGGUUUAUUUGCAUGUUUCAAAUGGUCAUCCGGAUGAAAUUGAAAAAAAGUCCAAGAUUGAAGCAGAAUAUUGGAAAGCAUUGGACAAAGCUAAACAAGUCUCAAUAUUGUUAACUUGUUUAUUCAAUGUCACCUCUUAAUGUUUAAAUCCUAUCUGUUAAUUUGAAUAGUUUGCUUUUGAUGUUCAUGAUAGCAAGGAUUCCAGGAAUCGGUUAACCAGUCUGUACAUAAUAGCAGCAAAAAUGAUGAUGAUGAUGAUGUGGAUGGUAGAUCGACCCUUGUACAGGUCGCAACAAAUUAGCUUACAUCCUUUACAAUACACUUCUUUAUUCUUCGUCUUUUGUCUUUUCCCUGAGAAUCUACUUUGAUUAUGAUGAUUUUGAUGAUGCCAAUGAAGAGUAGGAAGAUGAAUACUCCUAUGGAAAAGUAAAGGUUGAAACUCUUGGGUUUAAACGUCUUGAAACGGCCUUAGGAUCUUGCUGUUGUUUUAAACGAAAAACUGGAAAUACUUUUUUCUCUCAAAACGGAAUCAAAGACCAUUGGAGAUGGGACGAUCAUUAUUAUCAUCAGCAUCUUCGUCAUGACCACCAAAGCAUCACUUUCAUCUACAAUUACUAAUAGUGAGAACUUGAAGUGUUUUUCGCCUUUUAACUCAUAUUUUGAAGUCUUUCUUUCAUCACUAAUUUUCACCAAUCUAUCAAUGUUUGUUUUCGCCUUUCAAGACACCAACAAAAUGUUUGAGUUGAAAACUUACACAUUGUUAGUUGAUCUUUGAUUUUGAUGGCCUUUAAACCUUUAAAUCUAACACUAACUUUAACCUCUCAGUUGUAACAACCUUAAAAAGGCUCAACAUGCCUUCACGUAGCAAUAUUUUCAAUACAUUGCAGUACAACAAUAAUACCUUAACAGCCGAGCUCUUCGUCA